GUGAGGGAGGCGGAGCCAGGGAUGCUGGGACUGCGGUGAUGUGCAGUGGGAAGUCUUCUUGGACAGGCUUUCCCGGCGCCUGCCACAGUUUGUGUACGUUGCUUAGCAACGCAACACGUCACAGGGGAGCCGCUCACGUGACCCUCCCGGAAGUCCCGGACACAGACGCCGGGAACACCUCUCUCCUGCACUCCACGCUACUUAACAGGUUGAUAAAUCAACUUUUUGGUAUGGCAUUAAAGUGACUGCAUAAAGACGUGAUUGUGGACCUAUUUCUACCUAUGAUAUAACUACUUACAUGAGGAGGAAAAGGUGUGUGUGCCGUUUUCUUCACUGCAUUAAUCAGCCUUGGUCUUCACUGCACUAAUCAGCCUUGGUCUUCACUGCACUGAUCAACCUUGGUCUUCACUGCACUAAUCAGCCUUGGUCUUCACUGCACUAAUCAGCCUUGGUCUUCACUGCACUAAUCAGCCUUGGUCUUCACUGCAUUAAUCAGCCUUGGUCUUCACUGCACUAAUCAGCCUUGGUCUUCACUGCAUUAAUCAGCCUUGGUCUUCACUACACUAAUCAGCCUUGGUCUUCACUGCACUAAUCAGCCUUGGUCUUCACUGCAUUAAUCAGCCUUGGUCUUCACUGCACUAAUCAACCUGGGUCUUCACUGCACUAAUCAGCCUUGGUCUUCACUGCACUAAUCAGCCUUGGUCUUCACUGCAUUAAUCAGCCUUGGUCUUCACUGCACUAAUCAGCCUUGGUCUUCACUGCACUAAUCAGCCUUGGUCUUCACUGCAUUAAUCAGCCUUGGUCUUCACUGCAUUAAUCAGCCUUGGUCUUCACUGCACUAAUCAACCUUGGUCUUCACUGCACUAAUCAGCCUUGAUCUUCACUGCACUAAUCAGCCUUGGUCUUCACUGCACUAAUCAGCCUUGGUCUUCACUGCAUUAAUCAACCUUGGUCUU